AAUAGGAUUGCUGAUUUAAAUAGUAUCUUAUGUUCAGUUUUUAAAGAAUUGCUGGACUGUUUUUCAAAGUUACUGCACUGUUUUCCAUUUUCACCAGCAGC
rnacentral:pre_miRNA from 1 species